CAUGUGGGUGCGUUACUACGGCGAGUGAGCGGCAAAAGCUCAAAUUUGAAAUCUGGUACCUUCGGUGCCCGAGUUGUAAUUUGGAGAGGGCAACUUUGGGGCCGUUCCUUGUCUAUGUUCCUUGGAACAGGACGUCAUAGAGGGUGAGAAUCCCGUGUGGCGAGGAGUGCGGUUCUUUGUAAAGUGCCUUCGAAGAGUCGAGUUGUUUGGGAAUGCAGCUCUAAGUGGGUGGUAAAUUCCAUCUAAAGCUAAAUAUUGGCGAGAGACCGAUAGCGAACAAGUACAGUGAUGGAAAGAUGAAAAGAACUUUGAAAAGAGAGUGAAAAAGUACGUGAAAUUGUUGAAAGGGAAGGGCAUUUGAUCAGACAUGGUGUUUUGUGCCCUCUGCUCCUUGUGGGUAGGGGAAUCUCGCAUUUCACUGGGCCAGCAUCAGUUUUGGUGGCAGGAUAAAUCCAUAGGAAUGUAGCUUGCCUCGGUAAGUAUUAUAGCCUGUGGGAAUACUGCCAGCUGGGACUGAGGACUGCGACGUAAGUCAAGGAUGCUGGCAUAAUGGUUAUAUGCCGCCCGUCUUA
rnacentral:rRNA from 1 species